GUACAAAAGUCAACAUAAAUGAGAGGAUCACGUUAUCUACUUAUUAAACAUAUGUUACAUGUAUGUAUAUCUUAUUUUAUGGACAUUUAUUUUACAGAUACAUUUACAACAUCCAACGAUACUUAAACAAUUACAUGUAAAUCCGGUGAUUAUUUGAAUGAACAAACAUACUUUGAUAUAUUUGUAUAGUACACAAAGAUAGGAAUAAUAAUAAUAAUAAUGACAAAAAUGAUGGAACAAAGGACAAUAAUAAAAAUAAAGAAAUCUUUAUAGAAAAGAAUCUAAGAGGACUGAAUGUCGAUAUGGUACUCGAGUGAGGUUAAGAAAGCCAUAAUGAAGCUUUAUCAAAAAAAGCUGAAUUAAUCGACCCGAAAUAUGUUGUUGGCCGUAAAUUUACGAGGUUGAAGACGAAAAUAACUCGAUUUGUGGGCGAGCGUCCAAUCGCGAUGAGAAUAAAUGACAGAAAAACAUUGCAAGUCGACGUAGGUUAGAAGAGGAGAAAAAAAGAAAAA